UAGCUCAUAGGUGAUAAGGCUCACCGUUGAACUGCCCGCGGGCUGAUGGCCUCUACAGAAGU
rnacentral:ncRNA from 21 species